AGUUCAAAAUUUUCCCCUUGCUUUCUCCCCAUAUUUUCUAGUUUACCCAUAAUCCGGAGUUAUAUCUGACGACGAUACUUAUGAAGAUGAGGCGAGUCCCUAUGCUCAAGAGUUGUCUGUUAGUUGUUGCCCACUUCUUAACUUUUAUUUCAUUUUUCUAUUGCGUUGCUUAAGACUUGUUAUUUUAUUUGUUUAAUAAGACGAUGAAAAUAUAUUAAUUUGUCCUAGUAUGUACCCGAGCUAAUUCUAGACCGAGAUUUAAUACAUGCUAUUGUUUAGAAAUUUAAUAAACUUUUAGACGUGACAAAAUAUAAAUUGAUCACUAUAACAUAUAUACAACAAAUAUAUCUCUGACUUAUUUUUUAUCAAAAUUUUGGUUUGCUCCAAAACCUCACAACAUUAUUGGCUAAUAGUUUGAUCAAAAACAUUAUUGACUAAUAGACCUAAGUUUCGAUAUCUAUAUUUUUAUCUAGAUAGCUUAAUCAC
rnacentral:lncRNA from 1 species